rnacentral:rRNA from 1 species
GACGAACGCUGGCGGCGUGCCUAAUACAUGCAAGUAGAACGCUGAAGGAGGAGCUUGCUUCUCCGGAUGAGUUGCGAACGGGUGAGUAACGCGUAGGUAACCUGCCUGGUAGCGGGGGAUAACUAUUGGAAACGAUAGCUAAUACCGCAUAAGAGUAGAUGUUGCAUGACAUUUGCUUAAAAGGUGCAAUUGCAUCACUACCAGAUGGACCUGCGUUGUAUUAGCUAGUUGGUGGGGUAACGGCUUACCAAGGCGACGAUACAUAGCCGACCUGAGAGGGUGAUCGGCCACACUGGGACUGAGACACGGCCCAGACUCCUACGGGAGGCAGCAGUAGGGAAUCUUCGGCAAUGGACGGAAGUCUGACCGAGCAACGCCGCGUGAGUGAAGAAGGUUUUCGGAUCGUAAAGCUCUGUUGUAAGAGAAGAACGAGUGUGAGAGUGGAAAGUUCACACUGUGACGGUAGCUUACCAGAAAGAGACGGCUAACUACGUG